UACGAGUGCCCCCGAGCGUUAUCCGGAAUCAUUGGGCGUAAAGGGUGUGUAGGUGGUAAUGUUAGUCGGCUGUUAAAACCUGGGGCUCAACCCCAGAUCUGUGGCCGAAACGGCAUAACUAGAGGAUGGCAGGGAUGUAUGGAACUCAUGGAGUAGGGGUGAAAUCCGUUGAUAUCAUGGGGAACACCAAAAGCGAAGGCAGUACAUUGGGCCACUCCUGACACUGAAACACGAAAGCGUAGGUAGCGAAUGGGAUUAGAAACCCCAGUAGU
rnacentral:rRNA from 1 species